rnacentral:rRNA from 1 species
GACGAACGCUGGCGGCGUGCCUAAUACAUGCAAGUCGAACGCUGAAGGCGUAGCUUGCUCUUCUGGAUGAGUUGCGAACGGGUGAGUAACGCGUAGGUAACCUGCCUUUUAGCUGGGGAUAACUAUUGGAAACGAUAGCUAAUACCGCAUAACAGUAGAUGUUGCAUGACAUUUACUUAAAAGUUGCACUUGCAUCACUACCAGAUGGACCUGCGUUGUAUUAGCUAGUUGUUGGGGUUACGGCUCACCAAGGCGAGGAUACAUAACCGACCUGAGAGGGUGGUCGGCCAGACUGGGAGGGGGACACGGCCCAGAGGGAUACGGGAGGGAGCAGGAGGGAAACGGGGGCAAGGGACGGAAGACAGACCGAGAAAGGCCGAGGGAGGGAAGAAGGGUGUCGGAUCGGAAAGGUCGGUUGUAAGAGAAGAACGAGUGUGAGAGUGGAAAGUACACACUGUGACGGUAACGGAUAAGAAAGGGACGGCUAACUACGUG